AACGCAUCUUGCGCCCUUUGGUAUUCCGAAGGGCAUGCCUAUUUGAGUGUUUUGAAUCUCUCAAAUCCCUAUGGGUUUUCUCGUAGGUGAUUUGGAACUUGGGUGCUUUUUGCAGGCUGUUUCAGCAUGCUCGCCCUAAAUGCAUUAGCGGAGCUUGCUUCAUGGUGAGCAAAGUUGACUGGUAUGAUAAGUAUCUUUACUGGAACACUUUGGUCUUUACGUGAGCAGAUCUGCUUCCAACCUGGCGCAGACUUUGUCUGUGCGACACUUUCAAUUUUUAACCUCAAAUUAGGUAGGACUACCCGCUGAACUUAA
rnacentral:rRNA from 1 species